ACGCUCGACACCUACGGGGGGCAGCAGUCGGGAAUAUUGCGCAAUGGAGGAAACUCUGACGCAGUGACGCCGCGUAUAGGAAGAAGGUUUUCGGAUUGUAAACUAUUGUCGUUAGGGAAGAAAAAAGACAGUACCUAAGGAGGAAGCUCCGGCUAACUACGUGCCAGUAGCCGCGGUAAUCUGAGCGGGCUGGCAAGGC
rnacentral:rRNA from 1 species